rnacentral:rRNA from 1 species
AUUGAACGCUGGCGGCAGGCUUAACACAUGCAAGUCGAGCGGAGACUUCGGUCUUAGCGGCGAACGGGUGAGUAAUACCUAGGAAUCUGCCUAUUAGUGGGGGAUAACGAAUCGAAAGGUUCGCUAAUACCGCAUACGUCCUACGGGAGAAAGGGGGGGAGUCUUCGGACCUCUCGCUAAUAGAUGAGCCUAGGCCGGAUUAGCUAGUUGGUAGGGUAAAGGCCUACCAAGGCGACGAUCUGUAGCUGGUCUGAGAGGAUGGCCAGCCACACUGGAACUGAGACACGGUCCAGACUCCUACGGGAGGCAGCAGUGGGGAAUAUUGGACAAUGGGGGCAACCCUGAUCCAGCCAUGCCGCGUGUGUGAAGAAGGCCUCGG